UACGUAGGUGACAAGCGUUGUCCGGAUUUACUGGGCGUAAAGAGCGCGCAGGCGGUCGUUCAAGUCGAGUGUGAAAGCCCCCGGCUCAACUGGGGAGGGUCACUCGAUACUGAUCGACUCGAAGGCAGGAGAGGGAAGUGGGAUUCCCGGUGUAGUGGUGAAAUGCGUAGAUAUCGGGAGGAACACCAGUGGCGAAGGCGACUUCCUGGCCUGUUCUUGACGCUGAGGCGCGAAAGCUAGGGGAGCAAACGGG
rnacentral:rRNA from 1 species